rnacentral:lncRNA from 1 species
UUUUUUGGUAUUUCAAUGAUCCAUUGUUCAGACUCAGAACCACAGAACCUAGUGUUUGAGCAGGCAGUCACUGCAAUUCACAGGUAACUAGUGGAAAUACAUAACUGAAUGAGGGGCUGCAGCCUCAGUAAGGUUUUGUUGUUGUCUACAUUCCAAAACCCUGAAAACAAUUUUCUUGAAGGCAGAGGAUUCUUUAUGGGAAUUACUUAUAGGAUUUUAGAAGAUUCUUUAUAGGACUUUAGGGGAAUCUUUAUAGGAUUCCCCUAAAAAGACCUGGUUUAGGGACAGAUGUGAAAACAUUUGAAAAACACAAAUUUUUCCUUCCCCCUCCACCCUGAGAACUUUGGCUUUUGUCAAAACUUUGAAAUGAGCAGAAACUGUUUUGUUUUGUUUUGUUUCUUUGCAGAAACUGUUUUGGAUUAAUACUCUGGAACUAUCAAGGCCUUCAUGUGACUACUUGGCCUCUACAUUCUACAAAUACUAUCUAAAAAUAAAUGUAAGCUCCAAGAUUACAGGGAAUCUUGUCCUAUUUACUACUGUAUCCUGAGUGCCUAGCAUAGUGCCCAGGCUUUCUUAAGCGCCUCAAGGCUACCUGCUAAGUGAAUAUAUGCUGUUCAAAGAUUUUACUGUCUGAAAUCUAGUCUCUUUUGAAAUUCUUCCUAUAGUUCUCCUGCUACUACAGUGUACUGAGACUAGGGUGGACCUGUUGGAUGUCCCUAUCAUUUUCUCCAGAUGGCUUCAUUUCCUAAGUCAUGUAGAAUCACCCCUUCUUUAAGGAAGACCUCAAAGGGUCACUUACAACACUUUCUACCCUUUCUCACGGUCUAUCAUCUACUAGUCUCCUGCUCAUUCUGCAGUACUUCGUAAGUGUACCUCCUAUCAUCACCUGAAGGAAUAAAGAUGACACAUGCACUUACUCACCCCACCCCUUCACCCUUCUUUUGACUUCAAUAACCACCAAAACAACUCCAGGAUGCUACUCCUACAACUAUAUCCUUGGCUAUUGGUAGCAUGGCAUAAUACUAAUUAAACUGCUAAUAUUUGAGGAUUUAUUGUAUUCAGUACCACACAGGCCUUAUUUCAUUUAAACUUUCCAAUAACUCCAUAAAGACAUUAAGGCAUAGAGGCUUAAAUAAAUUUCUAAACAUUGCUCAGCUCAGGAGCGGUAGAGCUCUAAUAUUAAUCCAGAUCAGCCGCCGCCCUAACCUGUGCUCCUAACAGUGCACUGGGAUGAAAAGAAUCAAGAUUUACCCUACCUCUGCCACUCUGCCACAGAGACUUUUUGAUUUUGAGCAAAAUAAAAACCUCUCCAAACCUCAGUUUUCUAAUGCAUAAAAUGCUGAAAAGAAUAAAGAAAAUAAUGUAUGUUAGGUGCUUAGCACAGUGUCAGACAUACCACAAAUAUGUGUUCCAUCCAUCCUACCAACACCUACUCAUUGAGCACCUCCUAAACAUCCAAUGCUGUGAUAGGUACUGAAGAUACAACACUGAAUAAGACCAAAAAGGUCCCUGCCUUCACAGGUCUGCACAGCUCAGUAAGUGCUAAGUAUAUGA